CCGCGGCGGUCUCAUAUAUGCCCCAACUGGGGUAAUUCCAGAAGUAAUACAUGGCACCAAAGCUCCGACCUCACGGGAGGAGCGCAUUUAUUAGAACAAAACCAAGCGGCUUCGGCCGUCCAGUGUUGACUCAGAAUAACUUAGCUGAUCGCAUGGUCUUGCACCGGCGACGUGUCUUUCAAGUAUCUGCCUUAUCAACUUUCGAUGGUAGUGUAUCUGACUACCAUGGUGGUGACGGGUAACGGAGGAUAAGGGUUCGACUCCGGAGAAGGGGCCUGAGAAAUGGCCACUACGUCUAAGGAUGGCAGCAGGCGCGCAAAUUACCCACUCUCAGAACGAGGAGGUAGUGACGAGAAAUAACGAGACCGUUCUCAUACGAGGCCGGUCAUCGGAAUGGGUACAAUUUAAACCCUUUAACGAGUAUCUAUGAGAGGGCAAGUCUGGUGCCAGCAGCCGCGGUAAUUCCAGCUCUCAAAAUGCAUAGAAUUAUUGCUGCGGUUAAAAAGCUCGUAGUUGGAUCUGUGCUGGCGUCCCGGUCCACUUUCGGGUGCGUACUGGUGAUGUUGGCUUUUCUGCUGGUCGUACGGUCUUGUGGGCUUAAACACUCGCUUGAUCGGGCUGGCGCGUUUACUUUGAACAAAUCAGAGUGCUUCAACAGGCGUUUCGCUUGAAUGUUCGUGCAUGGAAUAAUAGAAGAGGAUUUCGGUUCUAUUUUAUUGGUUUUAUAGACUGAGAUAAUGGUUAACAGAGACAAACGGGGGCAUUUGUAUUGCUACGUGAGAGGUGAAAUUCUUGGACCGUAGCAAGACAAACUACAGCGAAAGCAUUUGCCAAGAAUGUCUUCAUUAAUCAAGAACGAAAGUCAGAGGUUCGAAGGCGAUAAAUAUAACCGGCCCAA
rnacentral:rRNA from 1 species